CCUACGGGAGGCAGCAGUGAGGAAUAUUGGUCAAUGGGCGAGAGCCUGAACCAGCCAAGUCGCGUGAGGGAGGACGGUCCUAUGGAUUGUAAACCUCUUUUGUCGGGGAGCAAAAAGGCCUCGUGAGGCCACAAGUGAGAGUACCCGAAGAAAAAGCAUCGGCUAACUCCGUGCGAGCAGCCGCGGUAAUACGGGGGACGCGAGCGUUAUGCGGAUUUAUUGGGUGUAAAGGGUGCGUGGGGGGACUGGAAUGCCAGCGGUAAACUCGAGAGGGUCAACCUCUUUCCGCCGUGGAAACUGUCGGUCUUGAGUGGGCGAGAGGUAUGCGGAAUGCGUGGUGUAGCGGUGAAAUGCAUAGAUAUCACGCAGAACUCCGAUUGCGAAGGCAGCAUACCGGCGCUCAACUGACGCUCAUGCACGAAAGUGUGGGUAUCGAACAGGAUUAGAUACCCGAGUAGUC
rnacentral:rRNA from 1 species